CAGCAGCCGCGGUAACACCAGCAGCCCAAGUGGUGGUCGCGAUUAUUGGGCCUAAAGCGCUCGUAGCCGGGCCGGUAAGUCCCUUGUGAAAUCGGACGGCCUAACCGUUCGGCGUGCAAGGGAUACUGUCGGUCUUGAGGCCGGGAGACGUCCGAGGUACUCCGGGGGUAGCGGUGAAAUGUUCUGAUCCUCGGGGGACCACCGGUGGCGAAGGCGUUCGACGAGAACGGGCCUGACGGUGAGGGGCGAAGGCUAGGGGAGCAAACGGGAUUAGAUACCCCCGUAGUCCCUGUCUCUUAUU
rnacentral:rRNA from 1 species